rnacentral:rRNA from 1 species
AUACAGGGGGUGCGAGCGUUAAUCGGAAUUACUGGGCGUAAAGAGUACGUAGGCGGUUGCUUAAGUCAGAUGUGAAAGCCCCGGGCUCAACCUGGGAACUGCAUUUGAAACUGAGUGACUAGAGUUUAAGAGAGGGGAGUAGAAUUCCGGGUGUAGCGGUGAAAUGCGUAGAGAUCCGGAGGAAUACCAGUGGCGAAGGCGGCUCCCUGGCUUAAAACUGACGCUGAGGUACGAAAGCGUGGGUAGCAAACAGGAGUAGAAACCCCAGUAGUCC